rnacentral:rRNA from 1 species
AUUGAACGCAGGCGGCAUGCUUAACACAUGCAAGUCGAACGGUAACAGGUCUAGCUUGCUAGAUGCUGACGAGUGGCGGACGGGUGAGUAACGCGUGGGAAUCUGCCUUCUAGUGGGGGAUAGCCCGGAGAAAUCCGGAUUAAUACCGCAUACGCCUACGGGGAAAGCCGGGGAUCUUCGGACCUGGCGCUAGUAGAUGAGCCCGCGUGAGAUUAGCUUGUUGGUGGGGUAAUGGCCUACCAAGGCAACGAUCUCUAGCUGGUCUGAGAGGACGAUCAGCCACACUGGGACUGAGACACGGCCCAGACUCCUACGGGAGGCAGCAGUGGGGAAUAUUGGACAAUGGGCGAAAGCCUGAUCCAGCAAUGCCGCGUAGUGUGAAGAAGGCCUGAGGGUUGUAAAGCACUUUCAAUCGUGAAGAAAAGUUGCAGGCUAAUACCCUGUGACCUUGACGUUAACGAUACAAGAAGCACCGGCUAACUCCGUG